GGUCGGUUAGCUCAGUUGGUUAGAGCGUGGUACUAAUAUGUCAUCUGACAUUCAGUAAUGCCAAGUCAUCUGACAUGUUCAGUAAUGCCAAGGCCGGGAGUUCAAGCCUCCCACUGAUCA
rnacentral:tRNA from 1 species